GCUGGGAGUGGUAGCACUGCACCUGUAGUCCCAGCUACUCCGGAGGCUGAGGCACCAGGAUCACUUGAGCCCAGGAGUUCUGGGCUGUUGUCUGUUGUGCCCAUCAGGUGUCUGCACUAAGUCUGGCAUCAAUUUGGUGACCUCCCAGGAGUGGGGAACCACCAGGUUGCCUGAGGAGUGAACCCACCCAGGUUGGAAAUGGGGCAGGUCAAAAACUCCCCUACUGAUCGAUACUGAGAUCUACCCUGUGACUAGCCACUGCACUCCAGACCGGGCAGCAUAGGAAGACCCCAUCUCU
rnacentral:SRP_RNA from 1 species